rnacentral:rRNA from 1 species
UACAGAGGUCCCAAGCGUUGUUCGGAUUCAUUGGGCGUAAAGGGUGCGUAGGCGGCGCGGUAAGUCGGGUGUGAAAUCUCGGAGCUUAACUCCGAAACUGCAUUCGAUACUGCCGUGCUUGAGGACUGGAGAGGAGACUGGAAUUUACGGUGUAGCGGUGAAAUGCGUAGAUAUCGUAAGGAAGACCGGUGGCGAAGGCGGGUCUCUGGACAGUUCCUGACGCUGAGGCACGAAGGCCAGGGGAGCAAACGGG